GGCCCUUUCGUAUAGAUAGGUCUAGUACAAGGCAACUUCACUGCCUAAACGCCAGUUCGAUCCUGGCAAGGGUCA
rnacentral:tRNA from 6 species